UACGUAGGGACCGAGCGUUGUCCGGAAUCAUUGGGCGUAAAGAGCGUGUAGGCGGCUUGCUAAGUCUUGCGUGAAAUCUCGGGGCUCAACCCCGAGCGGUCGUGGGAAACUGCAGGGCUGGAGUCCGGGAGAGGAGGGUGGAAUUCCCAGUGUAGCGGUGAAAUGCGUAGAUAUUGGGAGGAACACCGGUGGCGAAGGCGGCCCUCUGGACCGGUACUGACGCUGAUGCGCGAAAGCGUGGGGAGCAAACGGG
rnacentral:rRNA from 1 species